UCAGUGCACGCCUUUAUACGGUGAAACCGCGAAUGGCUCAUUAAAUCAGCUAUGGUUUAUUGGAUCAUACCCGUUAAAUGGAUAACUGUAAUAACUCUAGAGCUAAUACAUGCCACGAUGCCCUGACCCUUUUUGGGAAUGGGUGCACUUAUUAGAUCAGAAGCCAACCGUGUAUGCCCGCAAGGGUGUGCAUGUUGACCUUCUGGUGACUCUGGAUAAUUGUUACAGAUCGCAGUCGGCCUUGAGUCGGCGACGGGUCCUUCAAAUGUCUGCCCUAUCAACUUUCGAUGGUAGGUGACCUGCCUACCAUGGUGAUAACGGGUAACGGGGAAUCAGGGUUCGAUUCCGGAGAGGGAGCCUGAGAAACGGCUACCACUUCCAAGGGAGGCAGCAGGCGCGCAAAUUACCCACUCCCGGUACGGAGGUGGU
rnacentral:rRNA from 1 species